rnacentral:tRNA from 1 species
AAUUGAUUAGCUCAGCAGGUAGAACAUCCCGACUUUGAAGUCGGGAGGGUCCGGAGUUCGAGCCUCCGAUCAAUCACCG